rnacentral:rRNA from 1 species
GAUGAACGCUGGCGGCGUGCCUAAUACAUGCAAGUCGAGCGAACGGACGAUAAGCUUGCUUCUCUGAUGUUAGCGGCGGACGGGUGAGUAACACGUGGAUAACCUACCUAUAAGACUGGGAUAACUUCGGGAAACCGGAGCUAAUACCGGAUGAUAUUUUGAACCGCAUGGUUCAAAAGUGAAAGACGGUCUUGGUGUCACUUAUAGAUGGAUCCGCGCUGCAUUAGCUAGUUGGUAAGGUAACGGCUUACCAAGGCAACGAUGCAUAGCCGACCUGAGAGGGUGAUCGGCCACACUGGAACUGAGACACGGUCCAGACUCCUACGGGAGGCAGCAGUAGGGAAUCUUCCGCAAUGGGCGAAAGCCUGACGGAGCAACGCCGCGUGAGUGAUGAAGGUCUUCGGAUCGUAAAACUCUGUUAUUAGGGAAGAACAUAUGUGUAAGUAACUGUGCACAUCUUGACGGUACCUAAUCAGAAAGCCACGGCUAACUACGUG